GACGGCUCAGAAACAUUUGAAGAUUAAAAUUUACAUUUAUUUAUUAAUUAAUUAAUUUAUGGCUGCUGGUGGUUUGUAAAGCUUCUACUCAGCUGUAUUUUUGUUACUAAUUUAUGUUUGUUGUUGUUUAACACAGAUUUCAGAAGAGCGAAGAUGAGCACUGUUGCUUCAUCCUUAAUAGUUUAACUGGAUUGGAAAUCAAAAAAAUCCUGAUUCUUCAUCCACAGAAGUUUCAUUUGUCAGUGUCGGACUGCUGAGUCACCUGAAGAACUCAUUUCAUUCUCCACGAUGUUGAUUUACAGAAAUGUUUCACAGGAACUGAUUCCUCCCAAAGAUUGAACUAGUGUGUUUCCAUAGAUUAUCUCUGUAUGAAUGUACUUCAUAAAUGAAGGCAAGUGUUUGUCCUUUUAGUUCCUCAGGUACAGUACGUGAUAUUCAGGGCAGGCGGUCAACACUGGGGGAAGACAAGAAGCAGACGUACUUCCCAGAGGGAGCUGCAGUGAGGACACAGCCUGUCACUGAGGUCAGAGGAGGCGCUGGAAGGUUUCCCUAAUAGUUCCUGGUGAAUCAAAGCAGAACCAUAAAGGUUGCUGGACUGCAUGAUGGCCUUACCCCUGAGCAGUCAUCCUGUUAAAGGAGGAACCAGUUAGAAGCUGUUUUCAAAGUAGCUGAGCAGAUUUCAUCUCAAACAAAGAAGAUGUUUGGAGAAGAACUUCAGGCUGUGGACUGACAAGUAGAUCAAAGCAGCUCGUGCUCUGUCUGCUUCCAUUUUGAUGGCAAGAAGAAGAAGACGACUUCAGCGAAGUGGCGUUCAUGGUCUCAGUGGACAGUCAUGGUCACACACUGCAUGUGGUUUUAAAAGCAACAUGUCUGUUCACCACAACAAUUGAGAUGUGUAAUAUUAGUGCAGCUACAGUUUGUUCUUGAACAUCAGUUCUGUUUUCUACUUUGACCACUUAGACCAAAAAAAGUGUUGUUUUCAGAUUCUUUCUUAUAAAUCUGUAAAGCACCUGCUCAUUUUU
ensembl:lncRNA